GGGAAGAGCAGUCAUUUGCAGACCAUUUUCUGGGCAUUAGACUCAAGCCUACCCAAAGGACAAGCCCACCUUCCUGAGCCAUUUUAUUGGAAGGGUAUUGAAGCCAGGCAUCAAGGGAAAGAAAAGAACAGCUACUGAACGGAAGUUUUCGCAACUAUAUAGGAAAAAUGAAGCAGAGAAGAGUUAACAAUUGUCCAAGGCCAUGCAAGUGCAGGAGAUAAGAGACCAGAACCAAGCCCAUCUGGUCCUGCAACUUGUGUGUUUUAGACAUCAAGGCAAUUUUAAUUCCCAACUCCAUUAAAAUGAAAGGACAGCCUGACAGAGUGGGCAUGCCAAUGAAGAAGAGUGUCAAAAUGAACACUGAAUAAAAUGCUAA